rnacentral:rRNA from 1 species
GAUAAACGCUGGCGGCGUGCAUGAGACAUGCAAGUCGAACGGACGUUCAGGGCUUGCCUUGAUCGUUAGUGGCGGACGGCUGAGUAACGCGUAGGUGACCUGCCCCAAAGAGGGGAAUAACUGCUGGAAACGGUGGCUAAUACCCCAUGUGCUCGGUGGUUCGGUCCAUCGAGUAAAGCUUAGGCGCUUUGGGAGGGGCCUGCGGCCCAUCAGGUAGUUGGUAGGGUAAUGGCCUACCAAGCCGAUGACGGGUAGGGGACGUGAGAGCGUGAACCCCCACACUGGCACUGAGAUACGGGCCAGACUCCUACGGGAGGCUG